GACGAACGCUGGCGGCGUGCUUAACACAUGCAAGUCGAACGGUGAAGCUCCAGCUUGCUGGAGUGGAUCAGUGGCGAACGGGUGAGUAACACGUGAGCAACCUGCCCCUGACUCUGGAAUAAGCGCUGGAAACGGCGUCUAAUACUGGAUACGAGAAGGGUCCGCAUGGGCACUUUCUGGAAAGUUUUUCGGUUGGGGAUGGGCUCGCGGCCUAUCAGCUUGUUGGUGAGGUAAUGGCUCACCAAGGCGACGACGGGUAGCCGGCCUGAGAGGGCGACCGGCCACACUGGGACUGAGACACGGCCCAGACUCCUACGGGAGGCAGCAGUGGGGAAUAUUGCACAAUGGGCGAAAGCCUGAUGCAGCGACGCCGCGUGAGGGAUGACGGCCUUCGGGUUGUAAAGCUCUUUCAGCUGGGAAGAUAAUGACGGUACCAGCAGAAGAAGCCCCGGCUAACUCCGUG
rnacentral:rRNA from 1 species